rnacentral:lncRNA from 1 species
CGACAUAUAAAAGAAGUCGAUAGAAAAUAAUUCUGUAUAUUUUAUACUUCUUUGAGCUAACUUACAGUUUAACUGUUUUCACCAACAAUUUACCGUUACAGGUAAUGUCUUUUUAUAACGAAUUUACAAUGAUUUAUAUUUGCAUACUCUCAACUGCAUGAACGUGGGGAAAUAUCAUAUAUUAACCUAUCAACGAUAUAUAUAUUAAAGUACGAUUGCUAAAUUUUCUGAUAAAACAAUUUUUUAAAAUUUUUAUAUUUUUGUAAAAGGGUCAAAGUAAAUACUUUGUCAAAAUGUUAAGAAAAUUAAACGAGCCAAAUUAAUUUUAGUUUAAGUGUUGGGUACUACCUUAAAACUCAACUUUCUCGUAGUUAUUACAUUGCAUGUAACAUUUACUUUUGCAAGUUAUCACUGACAAUUUAUUUUGCGAGUAACAUUGAAGUAUUUUUUUUUUUUUUUAGAAAAAUCCGUUUAUUUUCGGAAAAGUAUCUAAGAUUCUUGUUAAACCAUUCGGUUUGCCGUAAAUUUUAUUUUUUUUCUGUUCAUGUACAUAAAAACUUUAUGUAAAGGAAAAAGAAUAGAAUUUAAAGAACAUGUGUUCCAUGAAACCAUAUGUAUCAGAAUAUAUGGUUUAAAACACUCAUCAGUGGCGUCCGGCUAAAAUGUAUAAAUGCAUAAACUACGAAGUUAAAUACACUGAGGACCGAAAAUGUCGAAAUUGUGUCAUAAUAUAUAAGAAUAUAUGUCUGUUACUUUCUCAUAUCUUUUUAAAAAAAUCUCAUUACAUAUUAUAAGUAAUAAACGCAAUGUACAUGUUGAUAGAAAAUGACAAUUACAGUACAGUUCACAAAAGCUAUUUUGCACCUGAUCCAACAUAAGGAAAUAUGAUCCACACUUUUAUAUAAUAGUGUUCACGUGACUCUUUUGUAUAAAACAAAACGCAUCCGAUCAUAUCGCUACCUAUUCCGACUCUUACUACGGCUUAGGCUGUUUUCAAUUUUUUGUAGAAGGUAUGUGUUAAAUGUAAAUUAUUAAAUAUUACGUGUUCGUUUACUUUUAGAAAAUGAUUAACAAAAACGUUUAAUGUUAUAUGUUUAGAAAUAUAUACUCUUAAUAGUUUUUUUCUCUCUGAUUUUAAUCUCAAAACAAAAUCGGUUAUUAAUUUUCGUUUUUUUUUUUAUUAUAUUUUCAUAUGUGAUAUUUAUAUAUUGCCUUCAUCACUCCAGGCUUCAUAAUAAUAAUACCAAUACGUUCCCAAAUAUAUAGUUGUUUCGUGUGUUUAAGCAGUCAUUUUUUUUAUAUGACAAUGUCUAUUUACAAAUCAGAUCCGUGGUCACCUCUUCCGAUUUUGUAUUCAAAAGGAAAAAAGUGGUAUUCUGAAUGUCAUCGAUUCUAUAUCAUAUUGAUAACAUUUAUAUGUGAGAUCUUUGGUAUCUUCUUCUUAACAGUACGUGUUUAGUGAAGUUAUUCUAGUAGAGUAAAAAUAUCUAAAUUUUCACCAACCGAUGUUUUGCAUAGUGUAAAAAAAACUAUUUCAUCUAAAUUAAAUUCAUUGAUUUAUUAAAGUGUUUCUAUGUACUAACAAGUAUUUUAUUAGAUUUAAUUUGAAGAAAUUUAUUUUAACAUUGGUUUACCGUCACUUUGGUUUGUACACAAUACAUACAAACUGGAUAUCAUGUCAGAGUACCGAAUCAUGUAAAAGAUCGGUCAUAAGCGUUAUUGUUUUGUAAAUUGUUGAAUAAUUUUAGUCAGUCCCUUCAACCUUGCUGGUAUCUCUUGUAUUAGCGUAUACUUCAUUUUAUUAACCUGAUGGUGGAUUUGAAGAAUGACUGUUUUGAAUAUGUUCUUAUUUAUAUAUUGUUUAAAUAGAUCGGAACGGUUGACCUUACGAGAAAUAGAAAACAACACCCCCUUUUAUUCACCAUUAUCUAAAAAGAUUUUGUUUUCAACAAACAUUCAAUGAGUGCAGCAGUGUUAAAAUGUUAAUUUUUAAAUCGAAAUUUUGUUCUAGUCAUUCCCAAAUUGAUUAAAUGAUUGAAAAACAAAAACAUAAAAAAAAUUAUAUAAUUUAUCUAAAAAUAUAUAUUUUUUCUUUUUCUUUUUCUUUUUCCUAACGUCCUGAUAUAAAAGAACUUUUCCCAAAUCGUCUCUUCUAUGUUCCUCAGCACAAUAAACGAAACUGUGAAACAAUUGUGUAAAAAAGGGAUGCACGGGAUUAUUUUCUGCCUUAACAAAGCUAUAAAUAAGGUUAAGUGUCAGUCCCAAAUAACAGAGAUACAUUGUUUAGAAAUCAAUUAUAUUAUUCUAAUAGUAACUCAGUCGUAGAAGCUUUUGAUCAUGCAAUCGCCACAUUGAAAUGUCAUUCAUUUGUGCAGUUUGAGUCAAUAUCUAUAGAAAACAUAUUAGGUUUGAACUUAACUCUAUGAAUGAGACAUUAAAUUUGGUAUUCAUCCGAUCGACAUAUGCAUAUUUAAACCCAAUCGUCAAGUCAUUGUAUAAUAUGAAUUAUGAUAUAAUAAAACUUACCAACCGUUUAAUUUAUUCUUUAAAAGAUAAGUAACGGUAAACUUGCGAGACACAAAAAAAUAAAGUGAUUAAGUAACUCUUUAUAAACACGAAGAAUGUUGUUUUUGUAUUUUUUUUCUGAUUUAGCAUGAAUGCAUUUUUGUGUUUAUAUUUUUUAACAAUCCAAACCUAAUGGAUGGAAAAUAACUGUGAAUUUUCCACGCAAUGUACAGGCAUUUUACAGAAAUCAUUCCAAUAAAACAUCGCUAGCAAGGCGCGUUUUAUACCAAUGAGACAACCUCCAACGGAAACACUAUGUAUCCAAAACUCUACACACAGUUUGUAUCUAUUUUGAUUGAUUAAAAAAUAAUUGAUUUUUACCUUGUUCUAUUCUUCCUUUUACAUAAGUAAGCUUUGUAUUUGUCUAAUUGUAAAAUGUUGUCAAAGAUGAAGUCUCCCCAUGAUGAUUUUACCUUGGUUUAAUGUUCUUGUUUUUAUGGAGCUACGUAGCCAUCAAACAAUCUAAAUUGUAAUAAAAAGACAUUCAUAAAUAACGGUUUCUGAUUUUUGUAUUCUUAAAAUGUACUUUAAAAUUGUUAUAAAAUGGUCUUAUCUAGCUUCUGGGAGCACGAAAUUAAAUUCGAAUUAAGGUAUCGAAUACGUUCUGUCCAGUUAAAGGACAUAGAUCAAAGUCGAAAAAUUGUAAAAGUGUUUCUUCCAAAAAGUCUACUUUUCCAGUCAUUUAGUACAUGUUAUGGUUUAGACUUUGAACUUGUCUCCAACUACAUGUGCUGUUAAAGCUUUUGGGAGUAGCAACAAAAAUGCAAUCAGCUGAUUAUUGAUUAUUUCUGUCAUAAUCGUAAUGGGUAACGAGUUCAAGGUUAAAAGCAGGGUCGUCUCAUUAGGGAGAAAUACUAGGAAACUUAAUUAUAUAAAAAAAGUGGGACGAAGACAAACCUUCAAAUUGCUUUCGUAAAAAAUGAAUUUAAGCGCCAUUUUUUUUUUUAUUUCAUUGAAAAAUGCGAAAUGGUGACCCCCGGCAGAAAGCCUGUUUUCCAUGUUAAAAGAAGCAUACAGCAUGGAAUGAUAUGAUUAUUUCAAUUGAAAUUGUUAAAUUGUGUGUUUUGAAUCGGGUCUAAAAUACACAUUUGAAAGGUAGUAACGUUUUAUGACAAUAAACCUUUUUAAAAUAAAAAUAAUUGACUUUGUGUAAUUUCCUAGGUAAUAGCACCAACACAAAUGUCCAUUUUUGUUUCCAGCAACAUUGGAACAUAGUUGUGACGUCAAUAAAUAAAAACAACAGACGUAUAACGCUGUUUUAUAAUCAUAACUCGAAAAACCAAUACGGGUCAAAAAUAAAAACCGAGGGAAACAUAUCGACUUAAAGUGAAAAACAACAGAACAAUUGAACUGCAACAAAAACAAACGCCAACAUUCAUAGCAACGCAUUUUUAAUAACAACUGCUAUAUUCCUGUAUUGGUACAUCAAUCACAACAAUAAUGGCAAAGCGAAAACAGAACCUCAUAUAAAUAAAAUGUUUAUUUACGUCUAACAUAAAUUACACUUUUUUCUUAUAGGAUGUUUGAUUUAUAAAAAAAAGAAGAUAAAAAUGUUCGAGGUAAGUGAUUGUGUAUUAAACUUAUAUUUUACUUUUUAAUGUUGUGUCGUCAUUCUCCUCUUAUAUUUAAUGCGUUUCCCCCCAUUUUGGUUUGUGACCCGGAUCUGGUUUUUUUUUCUAUCGAUUGAUGAGUUUUGAUUAUCGGUAUAAUACUGAUGCCUUUGUUUAGUGUAAUUUUAUCCCGUGAAAAAGACAGUGAGAUUAGACAAUGAUGCAAUCAUAACAUUUUGUCUUUGAUAUGUGUUUUUUUUAAAGUUUUAAAUACUAGUAUACACACGUUGAUGAAUAUGUUGAGUAUUCCAUGUCUUAUAGAUAAAGGAAGAUGUGGUGUGAGUGUCAAUGAAACAACUCUCCAUCCAAAUAAAAAUUAAAAAAAAAAAUAAAUCAUUAUAGGUCAAUGUACGGCCUUCAACAAGGAGCCUUGGCUCACACCGAACAACAAGCUAUAAAGGGCCCCAAAAUUACCAGAGUAAAACUAUUCAAACAGGAAAACCAGCGGUCUAAUCUAUAUAAAAAAAUAUGUAUGGAUUUGGAAAUAUGUAAAGAAAUCAAGUUGAUAAUAGUUUUAUUUUCACUAACUAAAGUACGAAUCUCUGCAAAUACAUUUCAUAUCAAAAUCGUUAUUCAUCAGACUAUUAGUGUGUUUGGCAGGUAAUAUGAACAAUAUCUUUGACAUAUAUUCUUUUUUUUUCAACAGUACCUCGAGGAAUAUGUAAUCCUCUGAUUUACAUUUUUUUUGUUUUAGUUAGAUAAUAAUUUAGUCGAAAAAGGCGUGUUUUAUACCAAUAUGAACGAUGAAUUUAUUAUAGAAAACAGGAGUAAACUUUGGUAUUUGUGUAAGAUGUGAGCUUCAUCUAAAAAAGACUCAUCAGUGACGCUCGAAUAAAAAAAAGUUUAAUAGGCCAUAAAAAUAAUACAACAUAUCGACAAUGGUUUUUUUUUAUUUCAUUUAAAAAUAGUAUUUGAAUUUAAUAUGAUUUUUUAAACAACCUUUUCAUAAAUCCGUUUCCCAAUUCUCUUUUUUUUUUCUUUUUCAGAUAAUUAUAAAACAUUAUGGAUCUUGGUCAUGAUGGGUGACGUUAAAUUCCAUCAAUUAACAAACAGUCGUCUGGUGGGAGAACGACGUUAUGAAAUGAUAAACUGUAGCAAAAUACUUCCACGUUUCACAAGUGUCUUUUCACAUCAUCACAGACUUGCUUGGCUUGUAUUUGUUUAAAACUUGAUAUGUUCAUAUUUCUUUUUAAUUUUGAUGUAUUGAGUCAAGGAUUAUGCAAGUCACAACAAGGGCGGCAAUGUGUAGAUACUAUUUUCGAAUGGAUUAAAGAUAUGAGAUCGUUAAUUCAAGUUAGAGUUAAGUAACUGAUUGGGCCCUAUAAUAUCCACGCUAUAUCAAACCUAAAGACCCAAAUACUGUUAUAAGGCACUUGUCCAUAACAAAUAUGUUGAUGUCCCUGCAUGUGAAGCACAAACAAAAAUCGUUUUGUGUGUUUGUGUGUAGCUCACAUUAAAUAAACUGCUUGAUAGAUGAAUUAGGUAUUUAUAAUUUACACAAACUCAACAUAUACCCCCACGACAUUCACUCAAGAGGAAAUCCUAGAUACUAUUAGAUCUGUUAUAUGUUCAUUUUAAAUUUCAUUCAACGAUGAAGAGCUGGACAGUAUUAGAUAACUAAAUUACAUAAGUGUCCCUACAAACAAUGGUUUAUUGUUGGGUCUUACAAGUGCUCCACAAAACUACUUUCCAUAUUAAACACAUCAAUUUUAUCAGCAGUUAAAAUAGGGCUAAAGGUAUUGCCAAACUGCCUAGUCUGGAGGUUACGUGAAUCAGAUGUGGAAACUACAAAAAUCAAAAGAUCCUUUAAAAUACAAACAAAUCUAAAACUUUAUCAUCGUGCAUUAGUAUUAAAACAUUUGACUUUUUUACACUUUAAAUACGUUUUUUGAAAAAAAUUGAAAAUAAAAGAAAAAUUGAAUGAGUCGGAAUUUCUUGCUGCUCACAAGGAAGCUUUUAAAAGAAGUGUUCAAAAUGGUGAAGUUUUAAUUAUCCCUUCGUAAAUUUUAUGGACCCUAUCACAAUUUGGUUGACCGUUAUGGAAUAUCUGUUGCACAGAAGACAUCGGAUAUGUUCCCUAUGAUGUAACUACAAUCUUGUUCCCUUUUUUAAAUGUGACCUACAAAGUAAACAUAUUACCGGGUUUGUACUAACAGGAGCAACAUGACGUGUGCAACAUGUUGCGCAGGAUCUGCUUACCCUUCCAGACAACGCGAGACCCUCCGAAUUCUUGGUGGGGUUCGUGUUGCUUAGUCUUUAUCAUUUUCUGUGAUGUGUUUUGUGUCAUAUUAGUUGAUUGACUUUUUCAUAUUUAGCCAUGACGUUGUCAGAUUUUUGUUCGAUUUAUUAGUUUGAAUUAACCCUCUGAUAUCUUUCAUUUGGUUCAUUUCUGUAGAAUAAGUACCUAUAAAAUAUAAAUAUUGGAGGUUUUUAAACAGCAUCAAGCCUUGUACACCAAAUCUAAGACAUGAACAAAACCAAACAGUAAAAGACGAAACAUGUGGAAGUACAAACCUAUUACUUUCAGGACUUGAUAGUCUAGAAUUAUUUGUUCCAAAUUAAAAACCCCAAGUGAAUGAAAUAUAUGUACGAAAUCUAUUAUAAUGUGUUAAAUUAGGUACAUUGAAAAAUCAAGCAAAUAAUUCAACAUAAAAAAAAUUUAUUCAUUAUUCUACAGAUUAGUAUUUUCUAGUUUUUCGGUCAUGUUACAGUAAUGUCAUAUAUGGUAUGAUAUAUUGUGCAUACAAUUAAGUUGAAAUAAUUUGAUUCAACUCUUUCAAAUUAGAGGAACAUCUGGAUAGAAAGCACAUCAAAUCAGCAUAAAAAAAUGUCUUAGAAACUUCAUAUCCCUACCAACCGAUGUAUAGAUUUUUCUUUAAAAUUGAUAUGUUUUAAAUACAAAUAAUGGUUUUCCAUUGUUUUUUUUAUAAUGUACAAUGCAUUAACCAAUUUGUCAUAUAGUUAGUAGUGAUCAAAUAUGAAAAUAUGAUGUAUGUGCUUUUUGUACAAAUGUACAAGUAUUUGUCAUGAAUUUCUUCAGUUUUAUAUCUGAAAAAGAGAGAUAAAUAAGUUAACUUUCAAUUUUAAGAUAAAUUUAUUAUUCCAGAGUUUUAUGCAAAACAAUACCAAAUAUUUGACAACAGCAACAACAAAUAAUUGACUUGAGUCUCAACUUUUUAAAAUAUUUAAUAUAAAACAUAAUAUAAUAUUAACAGAUCGAUUUAUAAAAGAGCCACUCUAAAACGAGUAAUGUGAUACUGUAAAACACACAAUAAAAUACACUUAUUAACAUCUAUAACAUAUAUCAAUAUAUUUUAGCAUUAAACACCAUAAUCAUUUAAAUGGUUUUUAACCUUAUUCAAAAGUAAGAUACAUCAAACAACUAUCAUCAACACUCCAGUCUAUUGAAAUGUUUUCUGUUAUAAUUCAAUUAAAGUAAAAAAGGCUACAAUAUGUAAAGCAUGACUAUAACUAUGUGGUUAUAUGAUAGUUUACACGGAAAUGAUAUGAAAAAAUAAAAAAAUGUUUAUUCAAAUGAAAAAAAAAAUAACAUACGUGCCUCGUAUUUCAUUUCUAUCAUAUCGUAUUUAGAUGAUAUAAUGUUGAUCAUUCAAUCACCAUAAAAUUCAAAAUAGUUAAUAAACGACAGAAUGAUAAUAACUUCUCGGACUUCAGUAUUUUUGUAACUUUGUACAUUCGAAAUUUUGUUUCAUUUUGUGUAAAUCACAUUAAAAUGCAUAGUUUUGACAGUUAUUGUUGUAUUUAUUAAAAAUACGUAUAGAUAGAUCUGUGUUUGAUCAUAGAUGAAAACAGUUACAAAUGAAAAAAAAAGUCCCAUAGAACUUAAACUGUGUAGGUGAUAACUUUGGAUAAAACAACAUUUGGCCAUUCACUGUAGCAGGGUUCUAAAAUUCUGAUUUAAAAAAAUACUUUAUGUAAUUGAAAAAUUUAGUUUAUCUGUGUUUGAUGAGCACACAAUAAUCAGAUUGGUUGAAUAAAAAACUCAAUAUUUUCUAUAUAUAAAGUCUGAAUAAAAUUAAUUAUCACUUUUUUACACAAUGAAACAUAUAUUAUCACUUAUGCAUGUUAUGCAGGUGACUCAUUUAAUAGGACAUAUACAAACAUAUAAUCAUUUAAUUAAUGCAGAUUUUAAAAAUUAAGUUAACAACAUAUCAAC